GGACGCGUAGCUCAGCGGGAGAGCACUACGUUGACAUCGUAGGGGUCACAGGUUCAAUCCCUGUCGCGUCCACCA
rnacentral:tRNA from 74 species